rnacentral:lncRNA from 1 species
AGAUUUUUGAUUAUAGCUGUGACUUAUUAACUGGAAGUGUCCAUAUUUGUCUUCAGUUGAGAGAGGGUGAAGCUCUGAUCAUUGUGAGCAACUAUUCAGACACCGGAAAUAUGGGAGAUUUGCAAGACUUCUACUGUGAUUUUUCUCCUUCAGCACCACAAAAUAUUUUCAAAGAAGCACUAAAAAGCAGGAAGAAUUUAACAACCCUCUGAAAUGCAAAAUAUGGAUCCAAUAAGAGGGCAGUCAGAGAAGCAAGAUGAUUGACCAUUUCAGAAGAAACAUUCCAAUUUUUUGAAUUAAAUGAGUUUUCCCUCUUUGCAGAGUACCAAAAGAAGAAGAAAAAAAGAUGGUUAUAUUUGGAAAUAACAUCAUUUCAUUUACUGAU